rnacentral:rRNA from 1 species
UACGUAGGGGGCAAGCGUUGUCCGGAAUCAUUGGGCGUAAAGAGCGUGUAGGCGGCUCGAUAAGUCUGCUGUGAAAGUCCAGGGCUCAACCCUGGAAGGCCGGUGGAAACUGUCGGGCUAGAGUCCGGAAGAGGCGAGUGGAAUUCCCGGUGUAGCGGUGAAAUGCGCAGAUAUCGGGAGGAACACCGGUGGCGAAGGCGGGUCUCUGGGCCGAAACUGACGCUGAGGAGCGAAAGCGUGGGGAGCAAACAGG